UACGAAGGGGGCUAGCGUUGCUCGGAAUCACUGGGCGUAAAGCGCACGUAGGCGGCUUCUUAAGUCAGGGGUGAAAUCCUGGAGCUCAACUCCAGAACUGCCUUUGAUACUGAAGAUCUUGAGUCCGGGAGAGGUGAGUGGAACUGCGAGUGUAGAGGUGAAAUUCGUAGAUAUUCGCAAGAACACCAGUGGCGAAGGCGACAUACUGGUCCGUUACUGACGCUGAGGAGCGAAAGCGUGGGGAGCAAACAGGG
rnacentral:rRNA from 1 species